rnacentral:lncRNA from 1 species
GAGAAUCAGGUCCAUAUAUAGUUGUCAAAAAAAAUGUAGAUGGUCACGUGAUAUAUAGUAUGAAGGUUCAACUUAUGGACUAAGCGUUGCGAAAUAAGUGAAGGUUACAGACACAAAAGUGUUUUGAAAAAUGCAUUUAUUUUGUCAAUAUUAUUAUGUCUUCGUAGCUUCCUGUACACCUUGCAUUGAUAACACACUCUGAUUACCUCUAGCAUUUAACACCUACACCAAUGAGCUCACGAGCGAGGCC